GACGAACGCUGGCGGCGUGCUUAACACAUGCAAGUCGAACGGAAAGGCCCUGCUUUUGUGGGGUGCUCGAGUGGCGAACGGGUGAGUAACACGUGAGUAACCUGCCCUUGACUUUGGGAUAACUUCAGGAAACUGGGGCUAAUACCGGAUAGGAGCUCCUGCUGCAUGGUGGGGGUUGGAAAGUUUCGGCGGUUGGGGAUGGACUCGCGGCUUAUCAGCUUGUUGGUGGGGUAGUGGCUUACCAAGGCUUUGACGGGUAGCCGGCCUGAGAGGGUGACCGGCCAGAUUGGGACAGAGAUGCGGCCCAGACUCAUGCGGGAGGAAGCAGUGGGGAAUAGGGCAUGAUGGGCGGAAGCCUGAUGCAGCCACGCCGCGUGCGGGAUGAUGGAGUUCGGGUUGUAAACCGCUUUCGCCUGUGACGAAGCGUGAGAGAGGGUAAUGGGUAAAGAAGCACCGGCCAACCACGUC
rnacentral:rRNA from 1 species